rnacentral:sRNA from 1 species
UAUACAUGUUUUCAAAUCUACCAAUCCCUUUAACAUUCAUUAGUUCUGGAACGUGAAUCAAGGAAUGCAUCAUCAAUUAACUCAUUUGGCUAAGGUAUAGGUCAAGAGACAAAGAUGGUCCCUUGCAGAAUAGGCUUUAGUAACAGGGGAUCUCUCAAAAAUGAUUAAGCUUUAGUAGAAUGCUAAAGGUAAGUCCCAAGCUAUGCAUCCAGAGAUAAGAUCCCAUCUACCCAGAGUAUAACCAAUGAAGCUCUAAUGGUAAUCCCAUCUCCAGUCCC